rnacentral:rRNA from 1 species
AGCGAACGCUGGCGGCAGGCUUAACACAUGCAAGUCGAGCGCCUGUAGCAAUACAGGAGCGGCAGACGGGUGAGUAACACGUGGGAACGUACCCUUUGGUUCGGAACAACACAGGGAAACUUGUGCUAAUACCGGAUAAGCCCUUACGGGGAAAGAUUUAUCGCCGAAGGAUCGGCCCGCGUCUGAUUAGCUUGUUGGUAAGGUAACGGCUCACCAAGGCUACGAUCAGUAGCUGGUCUGAGAGGAUGAUCAGCCACACUGGGACUGAGACACGGCCCAGACUCCUACGGGAGGCAGCAGUGGGGAAUAUUGGACAAUGGGCGCAAGCCUGAUCCAGCCACGCCGCGUGAGUGGUGAAGGCCUUAGGGUUGUAAAGCUCUUUCGGCGGGGAAGAUAAUGACGGUACCCGCAUAAGAAGCCCCGGCUAACUUCGUGCCAGCCGCCGCUGUAA